AGAGAUUGGAUUAGAGCGGAAAGAAGAAACCAAGGAAUGGAACCGGAGCCGAGCGACGAGCUGAAACUUGAAGAAAUUAUGACUUCACGGGAGAACUCAGCAGAAUCAAGUCCAAUGCAUGGUUUUACCCCCGUUGACUUUGACUAUCGAUGCACGUUCCCGUUAAUAUUAACAUGAAUGAGUUGGAAAAAAUGAUGCAUAAUUUAUAGAUUUUUCAUUCAUGUAAAUAUAAAUUUUGGAUCAUUUUGCAAUCAAUAAAAUUC
rnacentral:lncRNA from 1 species